CUUGCACCCAAACCUAAGAGCCGCAGUUUUGGGUAACAGUGGCUCAAAUAGCAAGUGAACCUCAUCGCCUUUGGGUGGCUCUGCCGUGCCCCUCAGAGUGAAUGUGGAGUUUCUACACCC
rnacentral:snoRNA from 1 species